AUUAAGCCAUGCAGUCUAAGUUUAGCACAUUGAUGUGAAACUGCGAACGGCUCAUUAAAUCAGUUAUAAUUUACUUGACAGUCACCUUACUAUCGGAUAACCGUGGUAAUUCUAGAGCUAAGACGUACUAAAAGCCCUUUGCGGGGCUGUAUUUAUUGGAUUCAAAACUGGUGGCCUUGUGCCGUGGUGAUUCACAAUAACUUUACGGAUCGCAUGGCCUUGAGCCGGCGACGUUUCAAUCAAAUUUCUGCCCUAUCAACUUUCGAUGGUAAGGUCGUGGCUUACCAUGGUGAUAACGGGUAACGGGGAAUUAGGGUUUGAUUCCGGAGAGGGAGCCUGAGAAAUGGCUACCACGUCCAAGGAUGGCAGCAGGCGCGCAAAUUACCCAAUGCCGACACGGCGAGGUAGUGACAGAAAAUAACGAUGCGGGGCCGCAAGGCCUUGCAAUUGGAAUGAGAACAAUUUAAAUCGCUUAACGAGUAACGAUUGGAGGGCAAGUCUGGUGCCAGCAGCCGCGGUAAUUCCAGCUCCAAUAGCGUAUAUUAAAGUUGUUGCAGUUAAAACGCUCGUAGUCUGAGAUGGGGUGAGUGGUGGGGGGUGUUGUGAAAUAUCCUUCAUCGCGCACUCGUUCUGACAGCAAUGUCGGGGUUACUUUGAGGAAAUUAGAGUGUUUAAAGCAGGCUUAUGCUUGAAUACGUUAGCAUGGAAUAACAUGAUAGGACUUUGGUUCUAUUUUGUUGGUUUGAGGACCAAAGUAAUGAUUAAUAGGGACAGUUGGGGGCAUUAGUAUUCAAUAAUCAGAGGUGAAAUUCUUGGAUUUAUUGAAGACUAACUAAUGCGAAAGCAUUUGCCAAGGAUGUUUUCAUUAAUCAAGAACGAAAGUUAGGGGAUCGAAGACGAUUAGAUACCGUCGUAGUCUUAACCAUAAACGAUGCCGACUAGGGAUCGGUGGAUGUCGCUUUUGACUCCAUCGGCACCUUACGAGAAAUCAAAGUUUUUGGGUUCUGGGGGGAGUAUGGUCGCAAGGCUGAAACUUAAAGGAAUUGACGGAAGGGCACCACCAGGAGUGGAGCCUGCGGCUUAAUUUGACUCAACACGGGGAAACUUACCAGGUCCAGACAUAGUUAGGAUUGACAGAUUGAGAGCUCUUUCUUGAUUCUAUGGGUGGUGGUGCAUGGCCGUUCUUAGUUGGUGGAGUGAUUUGUCUGGUUAAUUCCGUUAACGAACGAGACCUUAACCUGCUAAAUAGUUACCUUUAUGCUCAUAGGGUUAACUUCUUAGAGGGACUUUGUGUGCAAGCACAAGGAAGUUUGAGGCAAUAACAGGUCUGUGAUGCCCUUAGAUGUCCUGGGCCGCACGCGCGCUACACUGAUACGUGCAACAAGCUUUAUCCUGGGCCGGAAGGCCUGGGCAAUCUUGUGAAACUUUGUCGUGCUGGGGAUAGACCAUUGCAAUUAUUGGUCUUCAACGAGGAAUUCCUAGUAAGCGCAAGUCAUCAGCUUGCGUUGAUUACGUCCCUGCCCUUUGUACACACCGCCCAUCGCUACUACCGAUUGAAUGGCUUAGUGAGGCCUACGGAUUUGGGCAGUGGCCGCAAGGCUGCUAGCUCGGAGAAGCCGGUCAAACUUGGUCAUUUAGAGGAAGUAAAAA
rnacentral:rRNA from 1 species